rnacentral:rRNA from 1 species
GAUGAACGCUAGCUACAGGCUUAACACAUGCAAGUCGAGGGGAAACGGCAUUAAGUGCUUGCACUUUUUGGACGUCGACCGGCGCACGGGUGAGUAACGCGUAUCCAACCUUCCCAUGACUAAGGGAUAACCUGCCGAAAGGCAGACUAAUACCUUAUGGUCUUCACUGACGGCAUCAGAUGUGAAGUAAAGAUUUAUCGGUUAUGGAUGGGGAUGCGUCUGAUUAGCUUGUUGGCGGGGUAACGGCCCACCAAGGCAACGAUCAGUAGGGGUUCUGAGAGGAAGGUCCCCCACAUUGGAACUGAGACACGGUCCAAACUCCCACGGGAGGCAGCAGUGAGGAAUAUUGGUCAAUGGGCGAGAGCCUGAACCAGCCAAGUAGCGUGCAGGAUGACGGCCCUAUGGGUUGUAAACUGCUUUUGUAUGGGGAUAAAGUCAAUCACGUGUGAUUGUUUGCAGGUACCAUACGAAUAAGGACCGGCUAAUUCCGUG